GAAGGGAUAAGAGAGAGGGGCCGAGUCACUACCUUUUGUUCUUUAUAUUUGGAUAGAUGUGGAAUUGUUAAGGUCAGGCUUUCUGCAGAGUGAAAGGAUAGUAAGUACUGUUUGCAGAGCUGACCCAGUUCCUCCAGGCAUUUCAGAACAUUCUAUGAAGGAGCUAUACACUCGUCUUUGGAGAAAAGGAGAACUCGUGGUCACACUUAUCCCUCCAAAAAGAAUGAAGCUUAAAAUUCAGGGCCUUUAACCCAUAAGUUACAGAGGUAAAGAAUAAAUGCACACUGCAGGAAAAAGGGGCCUUACAGUGGGUAAGAAAGAACCACCAUUUGGGAACAGUACCAGAGAGAAACGCACAUUUAGACUGGGUAGUGAAGAGAGCAUCGGCUUACUAGUCAGUUACCAUGUUCCUGGGAGCUUUGAUGAUCUGCCAAAACAUGACAGAUGUUCAGAAAGGUAAGGAGACUCAAGUCACUGCCUUUUAAUUAUUACUAUAUGGGUGGUUAUGGGUGUGUGUUUUAGUAUAUAUGCAUGUGUGUGUAUAUUUCUUUCUCAGUGUUGAUAGUAUAUUUCCAUAAAUAUUGUUAUACUGGGGAGAUUAAAGCAACUGCAGGAAUCCACUGUACUUUUUUCUAAGGUUUUUAUUAUUGUUUUUGCCUUUGCCCUCUUCCCUUCUAAACUGCCUCGGUUAUUAUUCAGGCUUAUACUAUACAUUGUUGAACAAAUGCCAGCUCUAUGGAAACCACAGUUCUCCCUGUCCAUGGGUCACUUUGGUACAUGUUUCAUUUGGAGCAGCCGUAACAGAGCCCAGCUUCAAAGGAGAGAGCUCACAACAGACGUGGGCAGGAAUUUCAUUAUGCCACAUGUGACAGGCAGGCUGCUCUGCCCAUUUCAGCAAUCAACAACCUUGUGGGGCACAGACAGAUGAGAAGGGAUACCCUACUGCUUCCCUAUUUGGCUCAGCCCCUUCCUCCCUAACCUCUUUCAAACUCACCUAAUGAAGGCCACAUAAUGAGACUUCCCUGAGAAACCAGGACUAUUGACAGGAAGUCUUUACAAGGGUCUGAAUCCACCCACCUCUCAUUUUUCUUCCUCUUCAUGAGGUCUUUUUUUCCUAGUUCAUGUUAGUUUAUAUUUUCAGUAUACUUUCAAUUCCAUAACUGACCUAACCUUUCCAUGUGGUUGCACCUGCAGCUUUUGAA
rnacentral:lncRNA from 1 species